rnacentral:rRNA from 1 species
UACGAGGGGGGCAAAUGUUGUUCGGAAUCACUGGGCGUAAAGGGAGCGUAGGCGGGUUCUUAAGUUAGGUGUUUAAUCCCGGGGCCCAACCCCGGACCGGCACUUAAAACUGGGAAUCUUGAAUAGUGGAGAGGUCAGUGGAAUUGGGGGUGUAGCGGUGGAAUGCGUAGAGAUCCCCAAGAACACCAGUUGCGAAGGCGGCCGACUGGACACAUAUUGACGCUGAGGCUCGAAAGCAUGGGGGAGCAAACA